CAGGGAAGGGGUGUCCCGGAUGGGUGCUACGGCUACGUUUGCCCAGGCGCUCGCUUUCAGGCCUGUCGCACUGCGCGGCGGAGGCUCCCACCUGGGCUGCUGGGCCCAAAGGCGGUGGUACUCACCUUAACCUUGGCGAAGAAGAAGGCCACUCCUGCUUUGCCGCAGGGCUGUCGUCACGAUCUGUGCCAGCUAUGCGACAGAGUCUGCCCGGAGAUCAGCGUGAGGCCAGAUGGGCCUACCGCUCAGGAAGAGCUGGAAGAGCUGGAGCAAGCUCGCGUUGUGACUGACGCCCAGUGUACAUUGUUUCAAUCUCGGUCGAACUUUACAGCCCAGGAUCUGUCACUGACUUGGUGUUUACCUUUCAGCUAGUCCCUACCCUCUCCCUGCCUUACCUUGUUCGGCGGUAGAGUGGAAGGUGCAACUUAGCUGCCUGCAAGAUCUUGCAGCACUUUCUUUCGUUCUCAUAUCCACUAGUGUUCUCUGCCCAGAUUUUACCCUUUGUCUGCCCCUCUGGAGCAAGGCGCUGGGUAAAUUAGGCUAGGAAGUUUUCUUUCUCUUUCGAAAACAGUUGAAAAGCCUUUAAAUACUCCUGACUGCCCUGUAAAGGACAUUCAACCUAUUAAUUGAAUGUCAACUCUGAAGAAUGCAUUUGUGAAUUCCUUACUUAAUUAAACAUUUUAACCAGAUGAUUGCCUAAAAUGAUGUGCGUUGAGUGGACAUAGUACACUACCUAACAAAAGUCUCAUGAUAAGUUCGUUGGGUGCUUUAACUCAGUCGCUGAAAGAAAAACUUCAGCUCUCAUAAUUAAGAAACACUUUCAUAAUUGACUCCCAUACAGUACUCUUUUAGAGCUGCUUGUACCUUGCUUUGCCCUUUCAGUACACACUGUAGUAAAAAUUACAUAGUUUAUUUUACAUUAACUAUAAAGACAAAGAACUAUAAACAUUAUGGAUGAAUAUUUUGGUAUCAACUUCCGGUUUCUUCUUAUUAAGGAACUGGUGAUAAUGAUAAGAGUGAUCAUAUAUUACGAAAAAUACUAUAAUUUUCACAACACUAGAAUACACAAGUAUGGUUAUUUAUCAUAAGGCUUGAAAAACUUAUACUUUAUCUCAUAACCAGUAUGAUGAAGGGAAUGUUCACUGGGGUGGUUGAGUCUGGGGGCUUGUUUAGUUUACCACACCUAGUUUUUUAUUUCUUGGAAACUUGGACUGGAACAGAUCACUUCCUUGUUUUGGCGUCUGUCUCAAGAAGCAUGAUUAGUUCUGUAUUUCUGCUUGUCAACCCUGGGAACAACAGUUAAACCAGCCAAGCAGAUCACUCAAUGUUUACAAUGUUUGUGACAGCUGUGUUUUCUCCCUCCAGGGGCUGGGAGGGGGACCCCCGGGUUAAUAAACCUCUUUGGUGGGAAGACUCUCUUCCUGCUUGGAGCCAAACUGAACAUAGAUCCAUCAGCUGGGCACCACUGUAAUCCCCUUUCUAUAACACUAAGCAUCCCCCAUGCUCAUAUGGGCUGUACAUACACCUGCCAUUGCCAUGUGUAAAAAUUUACAGGGUAAGAGGCUUUUGAAAACACCCAACCUGCUCGGUACCUAUAGGUUAUAGGGAAGGAAUGGCUGAUAGGAAGGUGAGUGUUCUUCUGGAUGAGGGAGACUUCAUGAUUUCCAAAAUAGUUUGAAAAGUGAAAAGAAAAUUGUGCUGGACAUCUGCUGAGCCAACCUUAAGGGUGGGUUUAGGACUGGCUAUUUGGCAGGACCUGGUGUCUGCCUUGUUUAGCCAUAUUUUUACUCUAUUCAUCAUGCUCUAUUCAUUCACUCCAAAGGGAAUCAAUGAAUGCCAACUCUGUGUCAGGACCUUGAUCCAUUCACUGAGAUUGGCAGCGUGGCAGGACAGCCAGUUUGGGAGGACAACAGGAAUUCAACUUUAACCAUACUCAGUCUGAGGCUUCCUCACCUUUCCCCUUUACCUAUAUAUCUAACCACUACAAAAUUUUGUCAUUUGUAUAUCCUGAAUAUUGAAAAAAUCCAUCCACUUCUCUUUGCCCCUAUGACUACUCCAAAUUUCAAGCCAGUAACAUUCUUUUUUAAUUGAUUUAAACAUUUUUAUUUUAAAAGACCGAAUGGUUGCUUGACCGUUGGCUCUCAUGGGAAAACCACAACCCUUACCAUCACCACCACCACCACAGCAAAAACAACAAACAGCCUAAUGACCUCUGUAUAAUCCCUAAGAAAUUGUCAGAGAUUAACAUUCUCUUUUUUUCUUGCUUGAUGCUCAAUGUGUUUUAAAAACAUAUUUCGAUAAUUUACGUGCCCUAAUAUUCACAUAUUUAAAGUGAUCGUAUAAAUUUAUUAGGUGGUACAACCAUCACUAUAAUCUAAUUUUAGAACAUUUUCAUCACGUCAGUGACAUCUUCCUUGCCCAUUUGCAGUCAGUCUUCAUUACUACUCCCAGCAUCAGGCAACCACUCAUCUACUUUCUGUGCCUAUGCAUUUGUCUAUCCUGAACGUUUCAUCUAAAUAAUGUCACCAAAGUUUAUUCAUGUUGUGGCAUAUAUAAAUACUUUUUAUAGCUGAAUGAUAUUCCAUUGCAUCGGUAUACUAUAUUUUUGUCUAUCUAGUCAUCAAUUGAUGGACAUUUGGAUUGUUUCUAUCUUUUGACUAUUGUGAACAAAGCUGCUAUGAACAUUUGUGUACAAAUUUUUGGGUGGACAUUUGUUUUCAUUUCUCUUGGUUAAACACCUAUGAGUGCAAUUACUUGGUCAUAUUAUAUGUUUAAUUUUCUGCCAAACUGUUUUCCUAAUGGGCUGUACUAUUUUACAGUCAUUAGAUUUACAUGAACCAUCAGCAAUAUGUUUCUUCUCAUCAUCACAUUUGUUAUUUCCCCGUGUUUUUUUUUUUUUUAUUUUAUUUUGUUUUUUAUUUGUAG